rnacentral:RNase_P_RNA from 1 species
AGCCUACGGAAAGUGCCACAGAAAAUAACCGCCUAAGCACUUCGGUGCCGGUAAGGGUGAAAAGGUGCGGUAAGAGCGCACCGCACGUCUGGCAACAGUUCGUGGCUAGGUAAACCCCACUCGGAGCAAGACCAAAUAGGGUUCCAAGGCGUGGCCCGCGCUGGAACCGGGUAGGUUGCUAAAGAUGUCCAGUGAUGGCCAUCGUAGAGGAAUGACUGUCCUCGACAGAACCCGGCUUACAGAUCGACUCUCCAC